rnacentral:rRNA from 1 species
GGGAGUGAAAGAGAACUUGAAACCGUGUGCUUACAAGUAGUCAGAGCCCGUUAAUGGGUGAUGGCGUGCCUUUUGUAGAAUGAACCGGCGAGUUACGAUUUGAUGCAAGGUUAAGCAGUGAAUGUGGAGCCGUAGCGAAAGCGAGUCUGAAUAGGGCGUUGAGUAUUUGGUCGUAGACCCGAAACCAGGUGAUCUACCCUUGACCAGGUUGAAGUUCAGGUAACACUGAAUGGAGGACCGAACCGACUUACGUUGAAAAGUGAGCGGAUGAGUUGAGGGUAGCGGAGAAAUUCCCAUCGAAC